rnacentral:rRNA from 1 species
GACGAACGCUGGCGGCGCGCCUAACACAUGCAAGUCGAACGGAGCUGAGAGAAGCUUGCUUUUCUUAGCUUAGUGGCGAACGGGUGAGUAACGCGUGAGUAACCUGCCCUGGAGUGGGGGACAACAGUUGGAAACGACUGCUAAUACCGCAUAAGCCCACGAUCCGGCAUCGGAUUGAGGGAAAAGGAUUUAUUCGCUUCAGGAUGGACUCGCGUCCAAUUAGCUAGUUGGUGAGGUAACGGCCCACCAAGGCGACGAUUGGUAGCCGGACUGAGAGGUUGAACGGCCACAUUGGGACUGAGACACGGCCCAGACUCCUGCGGGAGGCAGCAGUGGGGGAUAUUGCACAAUGGGGGAAACCCUGAUGCAGCGACGCCGCGUGGAGGAAGAAGGUUUUCGGAUUGUAAACUCCUGUCGUUAGGGACGAUAAUGGCGGUACCUAACAAGAAAGCACCGGCUAACUACGU